rnacentral:rRNA from 1 species
GUCCGAAAGGUGACCGACCCUCCGGGAGCUAGCACAGGUGCUGCAUGGCUGUCGUCAGCUCGUGUCGUGAGAUGUUCGGUUAAGUCCGCUAACGAGCGCAACCCUUGCUGUGUGUUACAUGUGUCACACGGGACUGCCGGUCUUAAACCGGAGGAAGGUGGGGAUGACGUCAAGUCAGCAUGGCCUUUAUGUCCUGGGCUACACACACGCUACAAUGGCCGGUACAAUAGGUUGCGAAGCCGCGAGGCGGAGCCAAUCCUCAAAGCCGGCCUCAGUUCAGAUUGCAGGCUGCAACCCGCCUGCAUGAAGAUGGAGUUGCUAGUAACCGCAGGUCAGCUAUACUGCGGUGAAUACGUUCCCGGGGCUU